GUAGGUGACCUGCGGAAGGAUCAUUGUCGAAUCCUGCCUAGCAGAAUGACCAGAGAACUCGUGACAAACUCAAUGGGGGCGGUGGGAUUUUUCCCAUCGCCCCUCGACGUCGGGGAUCGCACGGGCGCCUAGAGCGCUCGGGCUUUUUCUCGGCGGCACAACGAACUCCGGCGCGGAACGCGCCAAGGAACUUGAACAAGAGAGCGAUGCUCCCACCGCCCCAGGCAUGGUGCGUGCGUGGGAUGCCAUCCAAUCUCCUAUUAUUUCAUAACGACUCUCGGCAACGGAUAUCUCGGCUCUCGCAUCGAUGAAGAACGUAGCGAACUGCGAUACUUGGUGUGAAUUGCAGAAUCCCGUGAACCAUCGAGUCUUUGAACGCAAGUUGCGCCCGAAAGCCAUUCGUGGUUCGAGGGCACGUUUGCCUGGGUGUCACACACGGCGUUGCCCCAAAUCCCUUGCCCAAUUCUUGGGCAGGCAGGACUCGGGAGCGUAUGUUGGCCUCCCGCGACGACUUAGUCCCGGUUGGCCUAAAAUCGAGCGCUGGAGCGAUUAGCACCACGACAUUCGGUGGUUUGACGAAGACCCCAAUGAUCAAUGUCGUGCGUGUCGCUCGUGCGAGCGCUCCACGAAUCUACCACUACCAACGCGACCCCAG
rnacentral:misc_RNA from 1 species